UACGAAGGGGGCUAGCGUUGCUCGGAAUGACUGGGCGUAAAGGGCGCGUAGGCGGACGGCUUUGUCGGGCGUGAAAUUCCAGGGCUUAACCUUGGGGCUGCGUUCGAGACGGGUUGUCUAGAGUUUGGAAGAGGGUCGUGGAAUUCCCAGUGUAGAGGUGAAAUUCGUAGAUAUUGGGAAGAACACCGGUGGCGAAGGCGGCAACCUGGUCCUUGACUGACGCUGAGGCGCGAAAGCGUGGGGAGCAAACAGG
rnacentral:rRNA from 1 species